GAUGAACGCUGGCGGCGUGCUUAACACAUGCAAGUCGAACGAAGCACUUUGAAACUUUCGGGUUUCAAAGUGACUGAGUGGCGGACGGGUGAGUAACGCGUGGGUAACCUGCCUUAUACAGGGGGAUAACAGUUAGAAAUGACUGCUAAUACCGCAUAACCCGCUAGGGUCACAUGACCUAGACGGAAAAGAUUUAUCGGUAUAAGAUGGAACAGCGUCUGAUUAGCUAGUUGGUGAGGUAAUGGCCCACCAGGGCGACGAUCAGUAGCCGGCUUGAGAGGGUGAACGGCCAAACUGGGACUGAGACACGGCCCAAACUCCUACGGUAGGCAGCAGUGGGGAAUAUUGCACAAUGGGGAAACCCUGAUGCAGCAACGCCGCGUGAAGGAAGAAGUAUUUCGGUAUGUGAACUUCUAUCAGCAGGGAAGAAAAUGACGGUACCUGACUAAGAAGCCCCGGCUAACUACGUGCCAGCAGCCGCCGCGG
rnacentral:rRNA from 1 species